rnacentral:rRNA from 1 species
GGUGACCUCCUGGGAAGUCUGGUGUUGCACCCCUU